rnacentral:tRNA from 1 species
GGGGUAGUAGCUUAAUGGUAAAGCGCUGAAUUCCUACUUCAGCGAUGCGGGUUCGAUUCCUGCCUACUCCA